rnacentral:tRNA from 1 species
AUUUAUAUAAUAUAAAAAGUAUAUUUAAUUUCCAAUUAAAAAGUUUAAUAAACUAAUAUAAAUA